GACGAACGCUGGCGGCGUGCCUAACACAUGCAAGUCGAGCGAAUGAAGUUCCUUCGGGAACGGAUUUAGCGGCGGACGGGUGAGUAACACGUGGGCAACCUGCCUCAUAGAGGGGAAUAGCCUUCCGAAAGGGAGAUUAAUACCGCAUAAGAUUGUAGUGCCGCAUGGUACAGCAAUUAAAGGAGCAAUCCGCUAUGAGAUGGGCCCGCGGCGCAUUAGCUAGUUGGUGAGGUAACGGCUCACCAAGGCGACGAUGCGUAGCCGACCUGAGAGGGUGAUCGGCCACAUUGGGACUGAGACACGGCCCAGACUCCUACGGGAGGCAGCAGUGGGGAAUAUUGCACAAUGGGGGAAACCCUGAUGCAGCAACGCCGCGUGAGUGAUGACGGCCUUCGGGUUGUAAAGCUCUGUCUUCAGGGACGAUAAUGACGGUACCUGAGGAGGAAGCCACGGCUAACUACGUGCCAGCCGCCGCAGUAAGAC
rnacentral:rRNA from 1 species